rnacentral:rRNA from 1 species
GGGUUGUGAGGUUAAGCGACUAAGCGUACACGGUGGAUGCCCUGGCAGUCAGAGGCGAUGAAGGGCGUACUAAUCUGCGAUAAGCGCCGGUAAGGUGAUAUGAACCGUUAUAACCGGCGAUACCCGAAUGGGGAAACCCAGUGUGAUUCGUCACACUAUCAUUAACUGAAUCCAUAGGUUAAUGAGGCGAACCGGGGGAACUGAAACAUCUAAGUACCCCGAGGAAAAGAAAUCAACCGAGAUUCCCCCAGUAGCGGCGAGCGAACGGGGAGGAGCCCAGAGCCUGAAUCAGCAUGUGUGUUAGUGGAAGCGUCUGGAAAGGCGCGCGAUACAGGGUGACAGCCCCGUACACAAAAGCGCAUGUGCUGUGAGCUCGAUGAGUAGGGCGGGACACGUGGUAUCCUGUCUGAAUAUGGGGGGACCAUCCUCCAAGGCUAAAUACUCCUGACUGACCGAUAGUGAACCAGUACCGUGAGGGAAAGGCGAAAAGAACCCCGGCGAGGGGAGUGAAAAAGAACCUGAAACCGUGUACGUACAAGCAGUGGGNNNNNNNNNNNNNNNNNNNNNCUGCGUACCUUUUGUAUAAUGGGUCAGCGACUUAUAUUCUGUAGCAAGGUUAACCGAAUAGGGGAGCCGGAGGGAAACCGAGUCUUAAUUGGGCGUUAAGUUGCAGGGUAUAGACCCGAAACCCGGUGAUCUAGCCAUGGGCAGGUUGAAGGUUGGGUAACACUAACUGGAGGACCGAACCGACUAAUGUUGAAAAAUUAGCGGAUGACCUGUGGCUGGGGGUGAAAGGCCAAUCAAACCGGGAGAUAGCUGGUUCUCCCCGAAAGCUAUUUAGGUAGCGCCUCGUGAAUUCAUCUCCGGGGGUAGAGCACUGUUUCGGCUAGGGGGCCAUCCCGGCUUACCAACCCGAUGCAAACUGCGAAUACCGGAGAAUGUUAUCACGGGAGACACACGGCGGGUGCUAACGUCCGUCGUGAAGAGGGAAACAACCCAGACCGCCAGCUAAGGUCCCAAAGUCAUGGUUAAGUGGGAAACGAUGUGGGAAGGCCCAGACAGCCAGGAUGUUGGCUUAGAAGCAGCCAUCAUUUAAAGAAAGCGUAAUAGCUCACUGGUCGAGUCGGCCUGCGCGGAAGAUGUAACGGGGCUAAACCAUGCACCGAAGCUGCGGCAGCGACACUGUGUGUUGUUGGGUAGGGGAGCGUUCUGUAAGCCUGCGAAGGUGGCCUGUGAGGGUUGCUGGAGGUAUCAGAAGUGCGAAUGCUGACAUAAGUAACGAUAAAGCGGGUGAAAAGCCCGCUCGCCGGAAGACCAAGGGUUCCUGUCCAACGUUAAUCGGGGCAGGGUGAGUCGACCCCUAAGGCGAGGCCGAAAGGCGUAGUCGAUGGGAAACGGGUUAAUAUUCCCGUACUUGGUGUUACUGCGAAGGGGGGACGGAGAAGGCUAUGUUGGCCGGGCGACGGUUGUCCCGGUUUAAGCGUGUAGGUGUGUGUUCCAGGUAAAUCCGGUUCACUUUAACACUGAGGCGUGACGACGAGGCACUACGGUGCUGAAGCAACAAAUGCCCUGCUUCCAGGAAAAGCCUCUAAGCAUCAGGUAACAUCAAAUCGUACCCCAAACCGACACAGGUGGUCAGGUAGAGAAUACCAAGGCGCUUGAGAGAACUCGGGUGAAGGAACUAGGCAAAAUGGUGCCGUAACUUCGGGAGAAGGCACGCUGACACGUAGGUGAAGUGAUUUACUCAUGGAGCUGAAGUCAGUCGAAGAUACCAGCUGGCUGCAACUGUUUAUUAAAAACACAGCACUGUGCAAACACGAAAGUGGACGUAUACGGUGUGACGCCUGCCCGGUGCCGGAAGGUUAAUUGAUGGGGUCAGCGCAAGCGAAGCUCCUGAUCGAAGCCCCGGUAAACGGCGGCCGUAACUAUAACGGUCCUAAGGUAGCGAAAUUCCUUGUCGGGUAAGUUCCGACCUGCACGAAUGGCGUAAUGAUGGCCAGGCUGUCUCCACCCGAGACUCAGUGAAAUUGAACUCGCUGUGAAGAUGCAGUGUACCCGCGGCAAGACGGAAAGACCCCGUGAACCUUUACUAUAGCUUGACACUGAACAUUGAGCCUUGAUGUGUAGGAUAGGUGGGAGGCUUUGAAGUGUGGACGCCAGUCUGCAUGGAGCCGACCUUGAAAUACCACCCUUUAAUGUUUGAUGUUCUAACGUGGACCCGUUACCCGGGUUGCGGACAGUGUCUGGUGGGUAGUUUGACUGGGGCGGUCUCCUCCUAAAGAGUAACGGAGGAGCACGAAGGUUGGCUAAUCCUGGUCGGACAUCAGGAGGUUAGUGCAAUGGCAUAAGCCAGCUUGACUGCGAGCGUGACGGCGCGAGCAGGUGCGAAAGCAGGUCAUAGUGAUCCGGUGGUUCUGAAUGGAAGGGCCAUCGCUCAACGGAUAAAAGGUACUCCGGGGAUAACAGGCUGAUACCGCCCAAGAGUUCAUAUCGACGGCGGUGUUUGGCACCUCGAUGUCGGCUCAUCACAUCCUGGGGCUGAAGUAGGUCCCAAGGGUAUGGCUGUUCGCCAUUUAAAGUGGUACGCGAGCUGGGUUUAGAACGUCGUGAGACAGUUCGGUCCCUAUCUGCCGUGGGCGCUGGAGAACUGAGGGGGGCUGCUCCUAGUACGAGAGGACCGGAGUGGACGCAUCACUGGUGUUCGGGUUGUCAUGCCAAUGGCACUGCCCGGUAGCUAAAUGCGGAAGAGAUAAGUGCUGAAAGCAUCUAAGCACGAAACUUGCCCCGAGAUGAGUUCUCCCUGAGACUUAAAGUCUCCUGAAGGAACGUUGAAGACGACGACGUUGAUAGGCCGGGUGUGUAAGCGCAGCGAUGCGUUGAGCUAACCGGUACUAAUGAACCGUGAGGCUUAACCUUACAACGCCGAAG